UCUGCAGAUGUGCAAGAUCAUUGAUUCUUUUCCCGCGGGUGCAGACGUCGUCGAAAAAGCUUUCGCAGCGGCGAGUCUGUACUACAAUUACACAGGCGACCAGAAAUGCUUCCAGGUAGAGGGUGGGGAUGACCCCCAUGGCCUCAGCGGCUGGGGCUGGCAGGCUUGCACAGAGAUGGUCAUGCCAAUGACGGUGUCGAAUGAGAGCAUGUUUCCGCCAUCCGGCUUCAGCUACGAAGAGAAGUCCGAGGGCUGCUUUGC
rnacentral:rRNA from 1 species